AGGGGGGGUAACUCCCCAAGUAGAGCGGCGAACGGGUGAGUAACGCGUGGGUAAUCUGCCUCCGAGUGGGGAAUAACAUCGGGAAACUGGUGCUAAUACCGCAUGACAUCUUCGGGCCCUCGGGCCUGGAGAUCAAAGCCGGGGACCGCAAGGCCUGGCGCUUGGAGAUGAGCCCGCGUCCGAUUAGCUAGUUGGCGGGGUAAUGGCCCACCAAGGCUCCGAUCGGUAGCCGGCCUGAGAGGGCGGACGGCCACACUGGGGCUGAGACACGGCCCAGACUCCUACGGGAGGCAGCAGUGGGGAAUUUUUCGCAAUGGGGGAAACCCUGACGAAGCAACGCCGCGUGGAGGAUGAAGGCCUUCGGGUCGUAAACUCCUGUCGACCGGGACGAAAACAGUCCGACCCAAUACGUCGGGCUGUCGACUGUACCGGUGGAGGAAGCCACGGCUAACUCUGUGCCAGCAGCCGCGGUAAUACAGAGGUGGCAAGCGUUGUUCGGAAUUACUGGGCGUAAAGGGCGCGUAGGCGGUCGGGCAAGUCCUGUGUGAAAUCCCUCGGCUCAACUGAGGAACUGCACGGGAAACUGCUCGACUUGAGUUCGGGAGAGGGAAGCGGAAUUCCGGGUGUAGCGGUGAAAUGCGUAGAUAUCCGGAGGAACACCGGUGGCGAAGGCGGCUUCCUGGA
rnacentral:rRNA from 1 species